rnacentral:rRNA from 1 species
AGUGAACGCUGGCGGUAGGCCUAACACAUGCAAGUCGAACGGCAGCACAGUAAGAGCUUGCUCUUACGGGUGGCGAGUGGCGGACGGGUGAGGAAUACAUCGGAAUCUACUUUUUCGUGGGGGAUAACGUAGGGAAACUUACGCUAAUACCGCAUACGACCUACGGGUGAAAGCAGGGGAUCUUCGGUCCUUGCGCGAUUGAAUGAGCCGAUGUCGGAUUAGCUAGUUGGCGGGGUAAAGGCCCACCAAGGCGACGAUCCGUAGCUGGUCUGAGAGGAUGAUCAGCCACACUGGAACUGAGACACGGUCCAGACUCCUACGGGAGGCAGCAGUGGGGAAUAUUGGACAAUGGGCGGAAGCCUGAUCCAGCCAUACCGCGUGGGUGAAGAAGGCCUUCGGGUUGUAAAGCCCUUUUGUUGGGAAAGAAAAGCAGCAGGUUAAUACCCCGCUGUUCUGACGGUACCCAAAGAAUAAGCACCGGCUAACUUCGUG